rnacentral:rRNA from 1 species
ACGCUCGACACCUACGGGAUGCAGCAGUGAGGAAUAUUGGUCAAUGGGCGCUAGCCUGAACCAGCCAAGUAGCGUGAAGGAUGAAGGCUCUAUGGGUCGUAAACUUCUUUUAUAUAAGAAUAAAGUGCAGUAUGUAUACUGUUUUGUAUGUAUUAUAUGAAUAAGGAUCGGCUAACUCCGUGCCAGCAGCCGCGGUAAUCUGAGGCGGGCUGGCAAGGC